UACGUAGGGGGCAAGCGUUGUCCGGAAUCAUUGGGCGUAAAGAGCGUGUAGGCGGCCCGAUAAGUCCGCUGUGAAAGUCCAGGGCUCAACCCUGGAAUGCCGGUGGAUACUGUCGGGCUGGAGGCAGGCAGGGGAGAACGGAAUUCCCGGUGUAGCGGUGAAAUGCGCAGAUAUCGGGAGGAACACCGGUGGCGAAGGCGGUUCUCUGGGCCUGUACUGACGCUCAGGCGCGACAGCGUGGGGAUCAAACAGG
rnacentral:rRNA from 1 species